GGAGGCGGGGCCGAGGGGAUGGAGCGGAACCGCGAGCGGAGACGGGGCGCCGAGACAAACGCUCUCUCUGUGUUUGCUGAGGAGCGCAGAGACCUCUGCAAGGCUGUAUUACACCAGUGGUCAGCCCCCAGCCCCAUUCCUCCACCACGUCAUCAUCCCCCAGCUGGAGAAGCGCCAGAUCUGACAAAGGAAGAAGGUCCUAUCUGCAGAAGAGCCUCACAGCCACGGAAACAUGUGCCCAAAGGGCCGGGAGAAUAAACACAACCGGAUCCAGAGAACCGUGGAUUUGGGCGGGCAGAACAAAAAGGUAGAUGAGGUUAGAGUUUACUGAUAAGGAAUUAUUCCAUCAUGAUACAGGAUUUGGCACGUUGGCACGUACCCCAUGCUACUAGCAUGGUCUUGGGAAGCUCAUAAAAAGCGAUAUCCCACACUAAGUGGAAAUGCCAAGUAGUUGUGGAGGAUAGCAGAGAAAAACCCCAGAACGCUCAGAGAAGUGGCACAAGCGAGUAAAUAUACUCCCACGACCAGGAAACCUAGUUGCAGACAAGGUUUCCUGGAAAACCCAGAGGACAUUUCAGUUACAAAAGUGAUGAGGAAUGUUCAGAUGAGGGUCUCAGCGGUAGCUGGCCAUUCUAUGACUGGGCCAUUACAGAGAGAACACCGAGCUCCCUGAUAGCAGUGACGAUGACCAGAUAGUGACAUAUAGAAGCCUAGGGGUGACGUUUAACCAUCGGAAGCAAGCCAGGUGCUAUUAUUACAUUGAGCAACGAGGCUGGAGUGGCAGCCCGGGUGCUCUGAACUGCAAGGAGUAACACAGAUGGUCAGCCAAACGCGGUGUCAGGAGCAGGGCAGUCAGCCUGCUAGCAAGAGUAUUGCUCCAUUCAUACAACCAGAGGAAAAGAUGGGUAUCAGAACUCUUCAGUCGAACUGAAGAGUUCGACUGUUUAGGCCCCACAUUGGGCAUGGAGCCUACUUAAAAAGAAACAGGAAAAUAUUGGGGUUCAAGGGAAACAUGAGGGCUUUCUUGAAAGUAUAAUCCUUUUUUUUUAUAACUAACAGUUGCAUUUCUCUCCCUUUGAUAGAAUCCUCUUCUGUACUCCCCCAAAAAAUAUUUCCUGAAAAGUAUCAAUCUAUAAACAAGUUGGUAUUUAUGCAUUGCUCAGACAGCAUGAUUAGAUCAUUUAUUAUUCCUAUUUGAUCAAUAUACUUUCAAAGGAUUUGAAAUGGCAUAAAAUAAAUGACCAGUAUAUAACUGAAUGAUUUUUAAAGGGUACCAAAAAAGUGUUGAAGGAAGAAGCUAUUGUGUCAAAUAUCUACAGUAGAUACAGCUACAGCAAUGUUUGUAAAGCCCAGCUCUGAGUUCCCUGGUCAUCAAGGUGAAAAGGAAAUAUAGAAAUAUAGUAUUUUAGACAAAUGAUUUAAUAAACAGAAGUAUGUUAGUUUUUCAGAAAAUACUCUUUUGGCCAACUAAGCAAUAUGGGAUUUUUUUCGUAGGGAUGUUCAGCACAUUUAGGAAGGAUGUUUUUAAUCUCAAAUGACUAACCUUCAAGGAUAUGCUUGUUCCAGCAUCUGGCACAGAGUGAAAGCUCCAUUAAAAUUUGUUGAAUGAAUAUACUGGUUUCUCCCAUUGUCUCAUGGCUAACUUAGGGACAUAAUGUUAGUUCAUAAUUCUCUGAUAAGAUUUACUCAGGCUCUCAGGAGUCAAGGAGGGUAGCUCUCCAAAGGCCUGAGUGUCUGUGAGAGAAAGCAUUUAGAGAAUCUAGAGAAAUGAGUCAUAGCACACCUUUGGGUAAUAUUUCUCAAAUAUUAGUUGUUUGGAGACAGAAGCCGAACAGUGAACACAUCUACGCUAAGGUUCCUUCUGGAUACUUAAAGCCCAGACGUCAUGCAGCUGGUAGAAAGUAGGCCCAGAGCCACUCCGAGGAGGCAUCCGUGAGCCUCACAGGUGUGUACCAAUAGCUCUUCUGCGGGGCAUGGAGGCCACACCACCUGCCCUCAUCACAGCUCAGUGAGGAACCAUGUGCCCGGAAAUGGGAAGGAAGGGACAUCACAUCUGGCUGGAAGCUGAGAAAAGCCACUGGGAUAUUUUCCAGUCUCUCCUGCAGUGGCAAUUGAAGAGGACCCACUUUGAAACUCAGAGAUGAGAUAGAAGCAGCCCAGAUCCCUGAGUAACUCCUGGAGGGCUGCUGGGAUCUGCAGCCACAAAAAUGAGAAAUGAGCUUCUCACUUCUUCCUGGGUAAAGCCAAUAGCAUUGAGGAAUCAGCGUAACCCAAGCCUCUCCUAUCCUUACUAAUAAAGUCUUUGAUAAAGUG